rnacentral:rRNA from 1 species
AGAGUUUGAUCCUGGCUCAGGAUGAACGCUAGCUACAGGCUUAACACAUGCAAGUCGAGGGGAAACGAUAGAGAAAGCUUGCUUUUUCUAGGCGUCGACCGGCGCACGGGUGAGUAACGCGUAUCCAACCUGCCCACCACUUGGGGAUAACCUUGCGAAAGUAAGACUAAUACCCAAUGACGUCUCUAGAAGACAUCUGAAAGGGAUUAAAGAUUUAUCGGUGAUGGAUGGGGAUGCGUCUGAUUAGCUUGUUGGCGGGGUAACGGCCCACCAAGGCAACGAUCAGUAGGGGUUCUGAGAGGAAGGUCCCCCACAUUGGAACUGAGACACGGUCCAAACUCCUACGGGAGGCAGCAGUGAGGAAUAUUGGUCAAUGGGCGAGAGCCUGAACCAGCCAAGUAGCGUGCAGGAUGACGGCCCUAUGGGUUGUAAACUGCUUUUAUAAGGGAAUAAAGUGAGCCUCGUGAGGCUUUUUGCAUGUACCUUAUGAAUAAGGACCGGCUAAUUCCGUGCCAGCAGCCGCGGUAAUACGGAAGGUCCGGGCGUUAUCCGGAUUUAUUGGGUUUAAAGGGAGCGUAGGCCGGAGAUUAAGCGUGUUGUGAAAUGUAGAUGCUCAACGUCUGCACUGCAGCGCGAACUGGUUUCCUUGAGUACGCACAAAGUGGGCGGAAUUCGUGGUGUAGCGGUGAAAUGCUUAGAUAUCACGAAGAACUCCGAUUGCGAAGGCAGCUCACUGGAGCGCAACUGACGCUGAAGCUCGAAAGUGCGGGUAUCGAACAGGAUUAGAUACCCUGGUAGUCCGCACGGUAAACGAUGGCAUGCCCGCUGUUGGUCUGAAUAGGUCAGCGGCCAAGCGAAAGCAUUAAGCA